AAGGAACAAAUAUCUACAUAUCCUGCCAGCUCCUGGAGAGGUCGGCACAGCGAUUAUCAACUGAGAAUACUGGGACACGCUUUUAUUGCUAGUCAAUGCAACGUGUAUGGAGGGUUUAUGGCUUCUCUUUGGAGUCGGAGGGAGUUAAUAUCCACUUUGGCCAUCAACAGGAUGAAAUGGAGAGGGAAAAAAAACAGAGUAAUGUCCAAAUUGAGGGGCAGCCAGCAAGCUCCCAACAGUCACUUCUGACGUGGAGCGUCUACACCAGCAGCUUGGGAUCAAUCCACUUUCAAAUCCUUUGAGCAGCUGUUUGCAUGCCACCAACUAAUGAAGCUCUUUGAGUGCUCGGUUAUUAAUGGGAUGAAGCCAGAGAGGGGAUAAAGAAAGAGAGAGUGGACCAAAGAAGAGACAUUUUGAAGAGAAGCCUCCCUUUCCCUAGCCACUUGUAGAAAAUCCAUUUCAGCUCAACUGGGACCAAUUGCACAGGACUGAUGUUAACAGAUCGGCCGUGAACAGAGCUCGAUAGUCUAUGGAGGUCUUUGUCUACUGAUGGCAGUUUAAUGUUUCCUCUGAAAAGGUUGUCCAUAAAGCCAGAGGGGACUGGUUCCUUACAGUAGUUCCUUUGCAAACCUCUGGACAGCAGGAAGCUGAGAAGGGGCGCUCUGUUGGUUCAGCUGGCUUUUACAGCUGAAGAUAACAUGAACCGCAAAUCUGCCGAGGCUCAAGUUUUCUCCGAGGGGGAGGAAUAUCCAGGGAGCAAAAUAAAGAGAAGUUGAGGUUUAAUGUUU